rnacentral:rRNA from 1 species
UACGUAGGGUGCAAGCGUUGUCCGGAAUUAUUGGGCGUAAAGCGUGCGCAGGCGGUUGGCAAAGUCAGCUGUGAAAGCCCCGGGCUUAACCUGGGAAUGGCGGUUGAAACUAGUCGACUCGAAUCUGGCAGAGGGGGGUGGAAUUCCACGUGUAGCAGUGAAAUGCGUAGAGAUGUGGAGGAACACCGAUGGCGAAGGCAGCCCCCUGGGCUGAGAUUGACGCUCAGGCACGAAAGCGUGGGGAGCAAACAGG